GACAUAUUUAUUAAAUAAGGCCUUUGCUUUCUUCUCAGAUUGAUGCCUCAUCGUUUACUUUGACAUUCUUUGGUCAAGGAUACAGCCAAGGCUUUAGUCCUGAGAAGAACAAACCGAACAUGAGAAUUUGUACUCAGGUGAAAGGACCAGAGGCUGGCUAUGUGGCCACCUCCAUAGCCAUGGUCCAGGCAGCCAUGACUCUUCUAAAUGAUAUCUCUGAUCUUCCGAAGACGGGCGGGGUCUUCACCCCUGGAGCAGCCUUCUCCAGAACAAAGUUGAUUGACAGACUCAACCAACGCGGCAUUGAAUUUAGUGUCAUUAGCAGCUCUGAAGUCUAAACAGUUGAAGAAUUACCUGAAGGCAUAAAAUGCAUGAAUUAACGGCUUUUUUAAAUUUUAAAUUUUAAAUUCUUCUAUAUCCUGACUAUAUGUUAAAGAUUGUCAAAUAUAAAAUAUGUACACAUUAAAAGCAGGAAAUUGUACUAGCUUACCCUAAAUUUCAAAUCUUAGCUGAUUUCGUGAUUUUAUUGCUCGUGAGAGAGAACUAAUCUUUGACUUUUUCACUGAAGAAUUCAUGGUCAAUUUUUAAACAUGAGCUGGCAGAUCAGAGGCUGGGGUGGGGGUCUCCCUCUGUGCUGCUGACAGGCCCCAGAUGAGGUGCUCAGGCUGGUGGUCUUGGGAGGCGGUAACCGCCACUCUCCUUUUGCCGUGGUGUUGAACGGGACCUCACCUUCUAAGUUUCUCUACAUACUCUUCGGGCCUUUGCCAAAUGAAACUGCAUUUUUUGCUAUUUUAGCCUAGUUUUUCACCCAUAGACACUGAUUUUUUGACUAUUACCUAAGUUGAAUAAUAAAGGGUUGUCACUUGAA